rnacentral:rRNA from 1 species
CCUACGGGUGGCUGCAGUGGGGAAUAUUGCACAAUGGGGGAAACCCUGAUGCAGCGACGCCGCGUGAGUGAAGAAGUAUCUCGGUACGUAAAGCUCUAUCAGCAGGGAAGAUAAUGACGGUACCUGACCAAGAAGCCCCGGCUAACUACGUGCCAGCAGCCGCGGUAAUACGUAGGGGGCAAGCGUUAUCCGGAUUUACUGGGGUUAAUGGGUGCGCAGGCGGAAUUUCAAGUCAGCGGUAAAAUUUCGGGGCUAAACCCCGUCGUGCCGUUGAAACUGGCGUUCUUGAGUGAGCGAGAAGAAUGCGGAAUGCGUGGUGUAGCGGUGAAAUGCAUAGAUAUCACGAAGAACUCCGAUUGCGAAGGCAGCAGACCGGCGCGCAACUGACGCUCAGGCACGAAAGCGUGGGUAUCGAACAGGAUUAGAUACCCGGGUAGUC